rnacentral:rRNA from 1 species
GAUCAGGUUGAUAGGUUCGAGGUGGAAGUGCAGCAAUGCAUGCAGCUGACGAAUACUAAUCGGUCGAGGGCUUAUCCUA